UGAUUCAAUGGCUGCCCAAUUAAUAAAUUAUUUUUUCUCCAAGUCCCCAACUUCUACGAAAUGGUCAAUUUAAUCCCCGUGUUUUGGAUUUUGCUAUUUUUCUCCAAUUUUGCUUCUUUCCUUUAACUCCUUUUCAUUUAUCGAGUUUACCUAUAAAACAAAAAAUACAACAAUUUAGGAUAUAAUUUGUCAAAUGAACUGUCAAAUUUUGCUAUUUUAGGGCCCCGAAUAAGUGUAUAAAAUACACUAUCACUGAUUAAUAUUCCAUAUAAAAUUAAUCAAGAGCUUCAUGAAAUUGGCUUUGGAUUUUCGACAGAAUAUUUAGUGAUGUGAUGUGGUCCAACAGACAACCAAUGGUAUCAAAAUAUGUGCACAAAAGACCAAAAUACAGAAUAUAACAAAAUACAGUUAGCUUACCAAAGUGAUCAAUCAAGCUACUAUGCUACCAUGCUCCUUGCCAAUUACUUGGAGCACUGGUGUCAUUGCCUGACUUGAAG
rnacentral:lncRNA from 1 species